AGAGUUUGAUCAUGGCUCAGGAUGAACGCUGGCGGCGUGCUUAACACAUGCAAGUCGAACGGAGUAUAUUUAAAAGCUUGCUUUGUUAUACUUAGUGGCGGACGGGUGAGUAACGCGUGGGUAACCUGCCUUAUACCGGGGGACAACAGUUGGAAACGACUGCUAAUACCGCAUAAGCGCACAGUCUCGCAUGAGACAGUGUGAAAAACUCCGGUGGUAUAAGAUGGACCCGCGUCUGAUUAGCCAGUUGGCGGUGUAACGGACCACCAAAGCGACGAUCAGUAGCCGGCCUGAGAGGGUGAACGGCCACAUUGGGACUGAGACACGGCCCAAACUCCUACGGGAGGCAGCAGUGGGGAAUAUUGCACAAUGGAGGAAACUCUGAAUGCAGCGACGCCGCGUGAGUGAAGAAGUAUUUCGGUAUGUAAAGCUCUAUCAGCAGGAAAGAAAAUGACGGUACCUGACUAAGAAGCCCCGGCUAACUACGUGCCAGCCGCGGC
rnacentral:rRNA from 1 species